AAAACCCUAGCAGUCAUGGCGCCGCCGACGCAGACACCGCGGACUCCAGCGACGACCGGCUCGGUCAAGCAUGCUAUGACUAUGACGGAGAAGAUUCUGGCAAGGGCGUCGGAACGGGCUGAUCUGCAGCCGGGGGAGAAUGUGUGGGUGAAUAUCGAUGUGUUGAUGACGCAUGAUGUGUGCGGGCCGGGGACUUUUGGGAUUUUCAAGAAGGAGUUUGGUGAGAAGGCGAAGGUUUGGGAUCGUGAAAAGAUCGUCAUUAUACCAGAUCACUAUAUUUUCACUAGUGAUGAACGUGCCAAUCGUAAUGUCGAUAUUUUGAGGGACUUUUGUAUGGAACAAGAUAUCAAGUACUUUUAUGACAUUAAGGAUCUUGGUAAUUUCAAGGCUAAUCCAGAUUACAAGGGUGUAUGCCAUGUU
rnacentral:misc_RNA from 1 species